GGAACUUGCUCUCUGGUCCUGCUGAGACGCUAAGGAGGUGAGGGCAUGGCAUCAGAUGAAGAGGGAAGAGAUUGCAGCACCGAUUCUGAUUUUCCUCUGCAGUAAAUCCUUGGUGAACAAUGGAAAGGGAAUCCACUUAGCCCAUGUGGAGCUUGUCAUAAGAAAUCACUGUGAACAGGGACCUUCAUGGAAACAGCACAGAUGUCAGCAGCAUUAAACAACUGGGUAUGCACUGCAGAUCCACUGAGCCUGAUCCUCCAACCUGUACUGAAGUUACAGCUGAUGGACCCUGGCUUGUCCCCAUGGGAGAGUCAACCUUUUCCCUCCAUAUGCAGCCACAGGCCCAGCCAGUGGGUACAAGGGUUUCCUGGGCAUCAGCAGAGUCAAAGCAGAAGUCGGUGGAGAGCCCCGCCCCCAGCAUGGUGGAGGGUGGUCAGCACUGUGGGCUGCGGGGAAGGAGUUGGAGGAGGAAGCCUCAGAAAGGAAAGAUGCACAGGCAGGCCCUCAGAUGUGAUUACAAAGUGAACCCUCCUUUCUGGAGAAAACUCAAGAGGCCCUGGAGUUCAAACCUUCCAGGAGCUGCCCAAGUGCACUGCCUCGGUGGACCACGUAAUGGGCCAAGCAAUGAGACGCCUUUCUAAGGUCAACUCCCUGAACACGAUGAAGCACAUUUAUUUCCCGAAGGUUUACCAGAGACACUGAACUCUGUAGUGUGCUAAAAACUAUGCUCCACUGUUUUUCAUACAAUUCGGCGGCGUCAAUUUCCAGCCCCAAGCACAUAGCCUCAGAGUAGAGGCAACAUACAUACAUACAUACAUACAUA